rfam:Thermosinus carboxydivorans Nor1 ctg54, whole genome shotgun sequence.
CCUACCGCGAGGUGAGGUCUGAAGGAGGCCGGAGGCAAAACCGCGGCCUGAUGAACAAGACCCCCAUACGAGGCUGGUCCGUUCGGAUGAGCUGGCGCUACACAGCAAAAUCCUAGGCUGUCAAAGUACGGUAGAGUAAAUGGGGCAGGCGCGGGGCGAAGGUCAGUGUU